CCUUCCUACAGUUACUAUAAGGAAUUAACCGAAUACUGAGAACAACUUUUCCUAUUGUUACAGCAAUGAGAUGGUGGGGUAUAUUAUGUAUGUUGACUAUGCUGGCCUUUUUAUUAUUUAUAGAAGGUACAACUGCAGCAAUAUGUAAUAUAGAAGCUAUACGGGGACCCCAAUACCAGACGUGUCUCCUAGGUUGUUGUAAAACAUCUACAAACAAAACCAAAUGCUGUUCAAAACCGUUUGAGUCUGCAAAAGACGAAUCAGGAUCCCUCAUAGGUGCAUAUGUGUUCGCUGGCAUAGUUGUUACCGUGUUUGUAAUUGGAACUGCAUACUUUUUGUACUACAGCUAUUGUAAAAAGAAAUCUGAUCCUCAAGGGAAACAAACUUCGCCAGAUAAAACUAGCACCCCGGAAAAAAAAUCAGAAUCAGAUUCUGAAAACGAAUAUGAGUGUGAAGGGGAACGUCGCUGGUUUAAAAGAAUGCAAAACCGGAAGGUAAAUCCAAUACAAAACCAGACGGUAAAUCCAAGGCACUCCCAAGGACAGGUUCAAGACCCGGUGAAUUACGUGUCCAAAAAAGAAAUGUCAGAAGAACCACAUUUAUAUCCGCCGCCUGCAUAUGCGGCUUUAUAUAAUUCAACAACAGACACCCCAGUUCUGGAAGAUUGCCCACGUGUAGCGACGCCAAAUAAAACAAUACGUUUUGAACUCGAAGAAGACUGAUCAACUGUGGUUUUUUUUCAUUGCUAUUUUG